AGAAGGGACUCCGAAGACUCGAGAUCUUCCACUUCCACGGCUGCCUCCACUUCGUCCUCAUCUCCCAAGCGACUCUCAGGGGAAAGGACACUUUCCACAAGCUCCAACCCUACUGAGCCUCGGAAAAACUCCACGGAUGGCAAAGAGGAGAGAUCCAAUAGCAAACCAAGGCCGGAUGUACCCAGGACACCAACUAGUCCCAUCUCUCCGACAUUUGCAUCUUCUGCCGUCUUUUUGCCGCCCUGCUAUCUGACCGGAGAUUCCAUCCGAGACAAGUGCAUCGAGAUGGUCUCUGUGGCUCUGCAAAUGGA